GAUGAACGCUAGCGGCAGGCCUAAUACAUGCAAGUCGAGGGGUAUGGGUUGCUUGCAACCCAGAGACCGGCGCACGGGUGCGUAACGCGUAUGCAAUCUACCUUAAUCAGGGGGAUAGCCCGGAGAAAUCCGGAUUAACACCGCAUAACAUUGAGUUGUGGCAUCACAGUUCAAUCAAAUAUUUAUAGGAUUAAGAUGAGCAUGCGUGACAUUAGUUAGUUGGUGAGGUAACGGCUCACCAAGGCCACGAUGUCUAGGGGAUCUGAGAGGAUGACCCCCCACACUGGUACUGAGACACGGACCAGACUCCUACGGGAGGCAGCAGUAAGGAAUAUUGGUCAAUGGGCGCAAGCCUGAACCAGCCAUGCCGCGUGCAGGAAGACGGCCCUAUGGGUUGUAAACUGCUUUUGUACCGGAAUAAACCUUCUCUUGCGAGAGAAGCUGAACGUACGGUAAGAAUAAGGAUCGGCUAACUCCGUG
rnacentral:rRNA from 1 species